GCCUGGGUGGCUUAGUCGGUUAAGCGUCCGACUUUCACUUAGGUCAUGAUCUCACGGUUCGUGGUCGUGGGUUCGAGCCCCACGUCAGGCU